UACCAGCUCUCCGAGUGGUGUGGAUGUUUAUUGGGCCUAAAGCAUCCGUAGCUGGCUGGACAAGUCCCCUGUUAAAUCCACCGAUUUAAUCGUUGGUGUGCGGGGGAUACUGUUCGGCUAGGGGACGGGAGAGGCAGACGGUAUUUUCGGGGUAGGGGUGAAAUCCUAUAAUCCCGGGAAGACCACCAGUGGCGAAGGCUGUCUGCUAGAACGCGCCCGACGGUGAGGGAUGAAAGCUGGGGGAGCGAACCGGAUUAGAUACCCGGGUAGUCCCAGCUGUAAACGAUACAGGCUAGGUGUUUGGACGGCCACGUGCCGUUCUAGUGCCGCAGGGAAGCCGUUAAGCCUGCCGCCUGGGGAGUACGGCCGCAAGGCUGAAACUUAAAGGAAUUGGCGGGGAGCACCACAAGGGGUGAAGCUUGCGGUUU
rnacentral:rRNA from 1 species